CUGCAGAGGCCCUGCCAGAGUUGGGUCAGGUGGAUGGGCGAGAGGACCGGUGUGGCCAGGCGGCGGAAGCCAGCACAGGAGACAAGGGCGGGGGCUGUGCAUUACAGAGGCUGCUGGGGGCUUGUCCAAAGAGCAGCAGGGGGCACGGAAGGGCUUGGGGACACAGACACGAUCAGACUUGCAUUUCACCAGGCACUCUAGCUGCCUGCGGGGUGGCUGGGCUGUGUGAGAUGACCCUGCUUUGACCAGGUUAGGAAUUAUGACUGGUUUCCAGAGAGAACAUUGAUUAGCAGUUGGCUACGGGGGAGAGGGGGCGUUGAGCCAACUGGGGUCCCCCUGAAGUGCCAGCAAAGUCUCUGGUUUUCUCCAGGAUCUGUUUCCUCAGUGCCUGGCAGGAUUGGCUCCCCUGCACGCCAUGUCUUUGUGAUUCCUUCCAGACAGAAACCAGGAGCGAAUAAAGUGAGUAAUGACAACAAGGGCUCAGGCCACUGCUGUGGAGGGCUGUCCACAACCCAGAGCUGGUCAUGCGCCGGGCACCCUGGCCUCCAGUUCCCUCGGAAUGGCAGGAGCUGGAGGUGGGACUCAAGAUUGUGGGAGCUAAGCCUGCAGCGAGUGACCAGGAGCCAGCUGGGGCUGGGCUUGGUCACUGUCACCUCCCCCGGAGGUCGUGAGUGGGAUGAGCAGCUGGGUGAAGACGCCUGCCUGUUUCACCAGUGUCCCUGCCCUCAGUCCCCUAGUCCAUGAAGGGUGUCUGUGUGAAGACUGGGGGCGAUAUAGGGCAGCCCCACGUGACAAUGAUACGUGCUGUGGCCAGCUGGGCAACACUGUCGCCAGCUCCGGGGUCUGCCAGGUGGGGUGGGGGCUGUGAGCCACAGCAGGAGCAGGCCAGGCCUGGGUUUGGACACCUGCUCCUCUGCCUUGUCCCGGUGCUGAUGCAGGAAGGCCCCUUCUCCAACCCUUGGUGCAACGUCUGAGCUGAACCAGCUUCCCCAGCCCAGCAACACUGCUCCGCUAAUGUGGAUGUCAACCUAAAGAAACAAACUGAACCACAGUUCAUAUAGUUUGUCUGGGCCAAGGCUGAGAGAGCUGCCCAGGACACACCAAGUUGCCCUGGGAGUGCUUCAUUCAGCCUUAUUACAAGCAAGUUUUUAAAGAUGGAAGGGGACAAGGAGUGGGCCGAUACGAAGUCAGCAGGAAUUCUGACUGCUUUCCAGAUAGAACCUUCGUGACUGGCUAUACAGUGUUAGACUACAGGAAAAGAGGCCACGUGCCACGGGGCUUUGCCCUGCAUGCUCCAGAGAGAUCCAUGCUGUUGGACCUUUCAUCUCCUCUCCUGGAGAUUGACCCAGUUAUAGUGCUCUUUGGAAAAACGACAGACGACUUCCAUCAUACAGUCUUCAGCAACCUUGAAAGAUUGGACAAGCUUCAGCCGACUCUUGAAGUUCACAAGGAUAGAGGAGAUGGAGAGACGCCGGUCAACGCGAGGGUGGUGCAGGCAGCCCCUCUGAGGUUUGGC